rnacentral:lncRNA from 1 species
UUUUUUUUUUUUUUUUUAAAUUUAUUUAUUUAUUUAUUAUAUGGAAGUACAUUGUAGCGGAGUCAGAUCUCGUUACGGAUGGUUGUGAGCCACCAUGUGGUUGCUGGGAUUUGAACUCUGGACCUUCGGAAGAGCAGUCGGGUGCUCUUACCCACUGAGCCAUCUCACCAGCCCCUAGAGAACUUCUUAAAGCUGGGUGUGGGUGGCUUUUCUUCCCAAACCACAAACUGGUACCCGCUGUUGGCUUCCUUGGUACGGGUUUUCUACCUCCAGUAACCAUCAAGGUUCUCCUUGGCUUGAUUCAGAGGUAUCUGAUUCUGUUGGAUCAUCGCAGGGGCUCUUGAUUCUCUCAAGCUGGGUUGGGGGAGCAGCGCUGGGCCUGGGCCUGAGAAUAUACAACCUGAUACCUUGUGUUUAAGCACUGAGUGGGACAGACAGAUCUGUAGUGUCUUUCUAGAGGCACCCAGGACACACUGUACAGGUGGAGUCCAUUCGCCUGACUCUGGUGUUCCGGGCUGACAUAAAGUGAAGCCGCCGCCCCCCCCCCCCCUCGUCUUACACUCUUGCUGUGGUGGCUCUGUUUGUGCGGGAGUACAUUCCGUUCUACUGCCAUUGCCUGGCAGAGGGCACACACACUCCAUGGUCGCCAUGGUCUGCCUGCCCAGUGCGAUGGCAGUGACCUGGGCUCAGCAGGUUGUAAGGAGAGAACAGCCUUGAAAGAAACUGGGCACUCUAGCCACAAAUGGAAAAUAUUUGGGAGUGGGAAGGGACCAAAAAUGGUAUCUUGUCAUCAUUUCUAAGGAAUAUAGUAUAGCUACUGUCUACAUAGUGUUUGUAAGCAGUCUAGAGAGGAUUUUCCAAGUGUAUAGGAAGAGCUGGGUGUAGUGGGUCAGUGUAGACAGUGCAUGCGUACUUAAGACACAUCAGGCUCUGGGUUCCAUUCCCAGAACCAAACAAAAACAAAAGAACAGGAGGCUAGAGAUUGAGAUCACUGGCUGCUUGCUUUUCCAGAGGUUCUGAGUUCAAUUCCCAGCAACUACAUGGUGGCUCACAGCCUUCUGUAAUGGAUCCAAUGCCCUCUUCUGUUGUCUGAGGACAGCUACAGUUUACUCAUAUAAAUGAAAUAAAUAAAUAAAUCUAUCUUUAAAAAUAAAUAAGAAUGGCCUCUAUAGGCUCAUAUUUAAAAAACAAAACAAG